rnacentral:tRNA from 1 species
GGGGAUGUAGUCCAGUGGUAGAGCACACACCUAGCAUGUGUGAGACCCUGGGUUCAAGUUCCAGUACUACCA